AGGCAGCCACAGGAGGCCUGGGCCAUUCAUUUCUCUGUUAAAAACAAUGGCCUGCUGCGUCCUCAGCCUUAUGGUUCCAAUAAAGAGUCCUCGAUCAAUUGCACAAUCCCUGUUCCCUAUUGUCAAGUGUCCCCAAAGCCAGACUGAGAAGCAGCCUGCCCGCUGCCCCUAUAAAGUGCUCUUUCACGUGCCCUGACCCAAUCCUAGACUAGAAAGAGGCUCCCUUGAUUCCACUCCCACAGCCUGGGGUAAGAGCAGACCACGAGAAGUGCACUGUAGUCCAGCUCCCGAUGGCUACGAUCAUAAAAUUAAAUGGUAUAACUUGCAUUAUGGCUGUAAAUCUCCAUGGCUGGCCAUUUCUUCCUGCUGCCAGGCCCCUUGGCACAGUUGACACUGUCUCAAAUUCCAGACCAGAAAAAAAGGGCCCACUAUAUUGCAGUGAUUUUAUCAUUAACGAGACCUGUUUGGCUCCAAAAUGAGGAAAAAUACUUAAGCAUAAUAUUUGCGUAGUUCAAAUGCAACGCCCCCUCCUGUCAUGUGUCACCAAGGCAAAUCUGGACUCUGAUUCAGCGCUCCAGCCCACAACAGGGGACUUGAACGCAAACAGCCUGAGUCACGCAGGUCAGCACGCAUGUGGGAGGCCUGUUCUCGGCUGAGUAUUUUAAGCACCGGCUUUGUGGAUGAAAGGCCAUGGGGCCAGGUCUUGGAGCAACUCCCAUCAUCCCUUUCCCUCAGAAGUAUGAAAAUGUCUUUUUUCUAGAACGCCCUGUGUUGGUCAGUCAUGGUGUGACUCAGUGCCUCUGGAUGAAGCCUGCCUUAGCUCCUCCCUCCUCUUAUCUCUGCCAUAGAUCCUUGGCUUCCUGAUGAUCAAACUGAAGAAUCUGCAGUUUUCUUGCAGAAAAACAAACAGUUCCAAUGGAACAACCAUUCAAAACAUAAUAACUCAGCCCUUUAACCUCCUACCACAAUCUAAUGCCUGGCGUUACGAGUUAGGGGAAAGAAGAAGGCAGGACAAAUGGUUGUGGAGAGCUGUCUGCCUCAGAAAUAAUGCCAGUCGGCAAAGGCUGCUGGCAGGUUUUGUGUUCAUUUCAAAACUUCACAUUCCUCGGGCACUUAGUGGCAUUUUUGAAGAACACCGUUUCAAGGACAGGGGAGUGAUGUGAGUGAGGUCAUUGUGAAUACACAGCACUUGACGUGGUAGAGUCCACAAUCAGCCUUGGAAAGGCUCUUGCCAGUUGUGUCUCUCUUAGCCAGCAAGCGUGGGGACCUGUGCCACGGAGACACCCAAUAGGAAUCAUCAUUUCAGGUAAGCCAGUCCUGUGGUCAGGCACCACGUGAGGUUUUUUUGUUUGUUUCUUUGUUUUUUGUUUUAAUUAGUCCCCCUCAUUACCAUAAACUAAGAAAUGAGAGCUUUAACUUGUGAGCAAUUUCUAUACCAGCUGAUACCUGCCAAAAUUGUAGUCAUUUAUAGAGAUUAACUGAUGACUGUCUGCUUUAGCAGAAGUGUUCAGGCAUAACUCCCAGAGAAAACAAUUCUUCAGUCUAAGCUGUUUUCUAAGCCCUGGGAGUCUCAGGGCUGAGUUUAAUGCUGGAGGAUUGGGGAAGAGCCCACUCUACUCUCCCCACGUGUGUUCCUGGGAGUAAGUUGGAACGUUAUUGCCUUAGUAGGGGGUUUUGACCCUCAGGCUCACAGUGGUGCUGGAGAGCUGUAACACCAAGGCACAGGGGAAAUGAGAAGCAUUAUCAUGUUCAAGGUGUGGUUCGGAUGCACUUACAAGCUAGAUCAAAGGAACAUCUAAUUCUUACUUUCUGAAACCAUCAGACCUCAUGUGCCAGAUAGCAAUAUUUUGCGUGAAAUAUAGGAACUUCCGAUAUGAACUUUCCAGCUGGGGAAAAUGAAUACUUUAUGUCUUCAGUUUCCUGUAUCUGUGUUCAAUUAAAAGGCUCAUUUGCCCCCUGAAUUAGAAAUAGAGGACUAUGGAAAAUGUCUACUAUCCAAUUCACUUUUCUUCUUUCUGAGUACUGGGCUUUAGAGGGCAGCAGGGACUUCAACCCUGGGUCCAGCCCUUGGGUAGAACCGGGAUGCAGCUCUGAACACCUGCAUGCUGGCAGCUUGGCUUCUUCAGCAUGUUUGAAGUCAACUGUGAAUGUUUACAGGAUGGUGCUUAAAGUAGUGGGCACGUCAGGAUUUCACACUGGGACAUCUUAAUCUUAAGCAGAGUUGAAAAGCGUCCUAAAUUCUUCUAUUACCAUUUUCUCAUUUUUGAAAAAAAGAAAAGUACUUGGUUGGAAUUUUACUAUGUAUGCAGAGUCAUAAAAAUCCAAAAAAGGUGAAAAAGUAUAUGUAAUACAAAUAAGUCAAUGCCAUUUGCUAAAUUUUACUUCAUUCCAAAGGCAUUUCUGUUGUUUUUGGGGUUGGCUGCUCACUAGAGCAGCCUUAAAUGUUAUAUUUUGUAACGGAUAGUGAGACCAGCUUCACUUUUCUGCUGUACAAACUAAACUGAGCAGGUAUGCUAAAAUCUCAUUGAUAACUGAGCUGCCUUUUUAAAGACACCAUUGUGAUCUGUGGCUGUAAGUAACAGAAAUAUAAUAUAUGAUCUUCCAUUAAAGAAACUAGAUAAGGCUAAAUUGUCACCGUUUCUUGGAAAUUUGUGGUUAGAGAGAAUAAAGAAUUUUCUGGCAGUCAACAACAUAUUAGUCUACGUUUCUGAUAGGGGUUUACUAGUUUUCCUGAUAGAUUCUCAGCAGAAAAAUGGGGAAGGUAUAUACUCAGAAGACUGUCAUGAUGCACCAUUGAGCCAAAUCUAUGCAAAAGCAUAAUACAAAAAAGAUAUAUAUAUAUAUAUCGUAUAUACACGUAUAAAAUUGUGGUUCUUCUAAAAAGCAUAUAAGAAUUUUAUAUAGUCAAUUUUGAAAGGACAUCUGUAUUUCAGGAGAUGUUGGCCAGUGAAUGGGAUACUCCCUGCAUGAAUCUGGAUAUAAAAAUAUGGGGUUUUCUUUCCUUGAUUUGUUACUGUUUUAUGACAAUGGAAAAGAAAUCAAUGUGUGUAGAGAACAGCUUACUUUUCCUGGUAUCAGAGUCUAACCUUUAGGUUGCGGGGUCAUUAGGAUUUCAAAGUGACAGUACUGAAUGUGACCCUUCCUGAAGCCCCUUGCAGGUGGUGAAAUAAAUCUCCCUAAUUGCAAACCUAACUAUCUGCUGGCUAAUUUAAUGUUGGGAAAUAUUGUUCAAUAUUAUAUAUCACAUGUAUAUUAUAUAUACUAUAUAAUAUAAACUAUAUGAUGGCAUAUAGAAUGUCAAUAUACAUUCUAAUUCAUAUUAUAUAUGCAUGCUUAUAUAUCGUCUAGGGCUACAUAACUAUGGGCAGCCUCACUUUCCCCCGCCCCAAUUUCUUCUCAUAUCGUUAAGCUAAGACACCACCACAAGGCUGGAGUACUUCAGAACUGGAGAAGGGCCAGAGAAAUCGGCCUUGGUUUUUAACUGAUGUGUGGGAAGUGAGGUUCAGAGAGGUUAUGUCAUUUGCCCAAUCUCACAAAGUCAGUUACGGGAAGACGGCAGGUCUGAAAACACACCCAUCUCAACACCCACAGACACACACACUCGGGAUGUGCUCUCAGUGCACCUACAAAUUCAACACCCACCGACACACACGCUCGGGAUGUGCUCUCAGUGCACCUAGAAAUACACAUUUCUGUGAACUCAAAGCGAACAGAGUGGAGAAGUGCACAAUGCUACGUGGUUUUAGAUCUCAGACAUGAAAGCCCCUGAACGUUUGCAUCUGCCUCGACCAUCUCACUUCUGCUCCCAGUGUAUGUGUAGAAUCAGAAGACAGCCCCAGCCACACUGUGACCUGCAGGCUGUGAGGCUGUUUCACCUGCUUGAGCGGGCAGUGGAAUUACCUGGGCAUUCUAGCUUGGUAGGUUGGUCUGGGGUGAAGGGCCUGAGAAUUUGGAGUCCUAACAAGGUCCAGGUGAUGCUGAGGCUGCCGAUACAGGGAGCACACUGGGAAUACCUGCAUGGAAGGGAGAGCUCCCCCUGGUACUCAGGCUUCCACUGUGCAUUACUACUUCCCUUCUCCUACCUGCUUCUGAUGUGCUGUGUGCUGGGGAAAAACACAUGAACGAAACGUGCCUGAACUGUGUUUAGACUGUGUUCACGAGCAAUGACUGAUGGCCUCCUUUUGGUGAUAACUAUUUGGCCGUCUUUUCAUUUUUUUAACUCUUCAAUACACACAGAGCAGCUGAAAAUGCCCAAACUCUGCCCUGCAGAUAGGCAGGUGUGUGACUGUCUCUGUCUCCCACAAUAACUGGGCACAUUCUGUUCCAGUCAGACUGAUUAUCAUGACAGUCUCAAAUCUGAGAACCCCAAAUUCUCAAGCAGCAAGUAACUUCUGCUGUGCCAUCUGUGGAAAGGCUUUGGGGAAUGGCAGGGAAGGGUUACAUGGAACCUUUAUUCCGUUCCACAAAUGCAGCAGCUAAGUUCUCUGAGUGCCCACAGGAGCGGGUGUUAAUGCAGAUGCCACAAUCCUCCUCCCCUCUAGAGAAACAACAUGGUCCCAGGGAAAUGUGAAUGCCCGUGUAGGCGUUAAGAAUUCUGCAUUCUAAAUCUGCUUUUCUACCGAACUUUGCUGUGGACAAGAACAAGUUUCUUCGUCACUGAGGCUCCAUAUCUGGAAGCCUGGAAUUAAGAGACUAUGAGGAUUACUCCAAGGGACUCAAAGCAUCCACAGCAAUUACAUCUGCUGCGAUUAUCUACUCAGCUGGUUCUUGUCGGAUGGCUCUAAGCACGGUCUUUCUUGAACAACGUCGAAUGAGGUUACGACUUUCAAAGUUUUCCCUUUGUCUUUUUUCAGGCAGACACCUGGCCUCCGGAAGCCAGUGCCAAGUCUAACUGUCAGGUUGGUCUCAGAGCUCUGUCUUGAUCCCCACCAGGUCGCCCAGCCUGGGAUCCCACCUGGCCUGCUCUACCUCUCCGUGUGCUGGGGGUCAGCAGCUUUGCACGAGGUGUCCUAAGAAUUCACUCUCCCUCUGCCUCCAGCUGUUUCAUCAAUGACCCUUUGGACAGUUAGUUAUAGGUGACCUUGGGCUUUAGUAUUCAAAGGUGCUCUCCUCUCUCCCUUAAGCCUUCACAGAGCCUUUCGUGCUACCCUGCUGACUGGGACAUUCCAUUCUGCUUUCACCCCUCCCCCUCUAGCAUCCCAAGGCUGAGUCCAGAGGGAGUGGGACAUUAAACCCACCUUAAAAUUUGCUAGGAAGUUGUCAGAGGCUGCACCUGGGAAGAAAGCCACUCUGCGGACCACUCAUCCAGGCUCUCACUUCCCAGCUUCUUGUCUGGGUUGGAAAACAAUGAUACGUUCACCCUGAAUGCCCACCUUUUCCAUCAGUGGCAGGAGGCACAUACGUCCUAGCAGCUGCCGCAGAGAGAUAUAGUAAAGCUACUGUAUAGGAUUUUGAAAGCGGGGCCUCCGAGAGCUUUCCAAACUCCAUACAAGCCAGUUAUUCUCUGCCUUGUUUUCUUUGGCUUCAGGUUAGUAACACAGAAUGAGUCAAACAGUAUUAACUUUCAAUAGGGAAGUGGUGUGGUCAACCGAAGCUGUUUGCGGCUAGAUUGUGAAGAUAGGUAGGGCAGGUAAUGCAGAACAGCCCAUAAUACUGCGAGGAGGCAGAGGAGGGAGGCGGCCCCACUCAGAAACACUCCAACAAUUAAGUCAACAGAACUCACACCAUCUUUUUUUAGUUGGCUGAGGAAUUAACACCAAGGUCUCUGACCGGCCAGCUUUGGGAAGUUGGCCAUGCUGGGGCUUGGACAAUUGAGUACUUUGUGGGUUUAAGGAUGUCUUUUUUUUCCAAAUGUUGCCAAAGUCAUGGGAACUCUAGUUAGGAAGAUUUCCCCUACUUACAGCAUGUCACUCUAGCGUGGACGUUCAUUCAUCUCUUUCCCCGGCCUGGGAUGUGAGUUGAUCCAUUCUCCCUUCUUCCCCCUUCUCCCCCUGCCCCACCCCCACCUUCUCAGUCACCAUCUUUGUCUUCCCAGCUUGGCAGGACACCGCAGUGGCCCCUGGGCUCUCUUUCCUGAGGUUAGAAGAUGGUGCUUUGAAAGAACAAUUGCUCCUACAAACAUCAAAUCAAACUUUUAGAAGCUGAUAAAGACCUUAAAAAUCAUUCAGUCUCCUUUUCUUUCUCCUUCUGUAGAUGAGGAACCUGGGGGUCUAAGAGGAGACACGAGCUGCUGAAAUUCACUGAGCUAGGCAGGGCCAGACGAAGACUCCACUGGCAGGCCCGCAGGCUUUCCACCAGACCAGGCCGCUCCCUCGCCCAGGGCUCAAGAUUCCUUUUAGAGUUCAACAGAGCAGCUCCCGAGAACAGACUGGCCCUCAAGACUCAAAUUUCAGUGGUUUCCAGUUCUUUCUCCCUGCGCUCGGCUACCUAUUUAUUUUGAGACUGGCUGAAUCACCCAAAGAAUAGAACGGGUUUCUCUGAAGCUGCUCCCGGCAGCAUGUCAGCAAAUGAACAGGACAGCGAGCUGGCCUCUGGAGCCUUGGAAGAUUCUCACCUCCAAGCAGCUGCAGUUUUUGACUCGUCCUGGGAAACUGGCACUGAGACUCAGGGGUGUAAGAUUUCACCUCCCUGAAAUCAAAUCCAGAAAUCGCAGGCGCGGAGCGUAUAUAAAAAGCCACAGGGGAAAAAAGGAAUACGGACUCAGCAACUCUUAGGUGCUCUGAGCCUCUUCCCAAGCCUUCUGGUUCCGUGAGCAUUUCAUUGAAAGAAAAUGGAAUAACAGAGUUUUAGAAGAAAAACUGUAUUUGGUCUUGUAAGAGAAAAGUAUAUUCAAAUAAAACUCAGUUCUCAAUUAUU